AUACUAUUAAAAAAACAAUUGUUUGUAAUUAAAACUGUAUUUUAGAUAUAUGCAAAAACGGUAACUAAAAAGUAAAUAUUGAGCUGCAUUGAGAUUAGACUAACGACGAACCCACAAUUGUUAUUGUAAUGUACAUAUCUAUUUAUAAACUUACCUUGUUAAAUAGUAAACGCGCUGUUAUCUUGUACAUAGAAAGAGAGGUAACUCUGUAUCUUUUAAAAAGAAUACUACCGGAAAACAUUGAUUAACUCUGAAAUGGAGAUUUGUCAAUGUCUUGCAUACUUUCACCUACCAAACCC
rnacentral:lncRNA from 1 species